UAGGGAAUCUUCCGCAAUGGACGCAAGUCUGACGGAGCAACGCCGCGUGAGUGAAGAAGGAUUUCGGUUCGUAAAACUCUGUUGUUAGAGAAGAACAGCGCAUAGAGUAACUGUUAUGCGUGUGACGGUAUCUAACCAGAAAGCCACGGCUAACUACGUGCCAGCAGCCGCGGUAAUACGUAGGUGGCAAGCGUUGUCCGGAUUUAUUGGGCGUAAAGCGAGCACAGGCGGUUAGAUAAGUCUGAAGUUAAAGGCAGUGGCUCAACCAUUGUAGGCUUUGGAAACUGUUUAACUUGAGUGCAGAAGGGGAGAGUGGAAUUCCAUGUGUAGCGGUGAAAUGCGUAGAUAUAUGGAGGAACACCGGUGGCGAAAGCGGCUCUCUGGUCUGUAACUGACGCUGAGGCUCGAAAGCGUGGGGAGCGAACAGG
rnacentral:rRNA from 1 species